rnacentral:lncRNA from 1 species
CCAGGCAAAUCAGUCCAGGCAAGAAUUUGCGGGCUCCACUAAACGGCCGAUCUUUCUCGGCCCAUCGAGCCCGAAGUCGUCGGCCCGGCCCGUCUCUCUCGUACUGCUUUUUGCUCGCGGCUCACCUCCUGCUUCCCUCUUCACCAUUUUCGCCACUUGCAAUCGACGAGCACAGAGGCGGUCGCGCUUGCUAAUCUCGCCGAAGAAAGCUCAGAUCGCCGUCCAAUCGGACGUGCUUCCGAUCACCUGCGCCGGCCUACGGCGGCCUCGCCCCUGAUCAUGGCGGAAGCCUCGACCUCGAAACCGAAGCCUCGACCGAUCGUUCGGCUGGGGACUCUGCUCAUAUCUCACAGCGUCCUCGUCAGGUACCGCAGUAGCUUCUCGGUCUUUGAUUAUCUCUGCUCGUUGUUAUUCGAGCGAAUCUGUUCCGGCGACUCGAGCGCGAGCUCACACGCGCUUUUUCGACCUUGUGGACUUCUUCGCAGUGUCGUCUGCUGCGUUUCUGGGGUUC